UCGCCUGUUUAUCAAAAACAUGGUUUUUUGAAUUAUAAUUUAAGAUUAGUUCUGCUCAAUGAUUUGAAAUUAAAUAGCCGCAGUAUUUUGACUGUGCUAAGGUAGCAUAAUCAAUUGUUUUUUAAUUAAGAACUGGAAUGAAGGAAUUGAUGAGAUUAAGACUGUCUAAUAUAAAAUGUUAAAAUUUAAAUUUUAAGUAAUAAUUCUUAAAUAAAGUUAUGGGACGAGAAGACCCUGUAGAAUUUGAUAUAAUUUUUUAAAAUAAGUAUAAAUAAGAUUUAAUAAAAUUAAUAUUUUAUUGGGAGGAUAAUUAAAUUAAAUUAACUUUAAAAUUUAAAAUUAAACAUUAAUUUAUGAUAAUAGUUGAAUAAUUUUAUUAUAAUAAUUAAAAUUAAUUAAAAAUUAAUUACCUUAGGGAUAACAGCGUAAUAUUUUUAAAAAGAUCAUAUUGAUAAAAGUGUUUGCGACCUCGAUGUUGAAUUAAAAUAAAAAUUAAACGAAGAAGUUUAAUAUUUUAGUCUGU
rnacentral:rRNA from 1 species